rnacentral:misc_RNA from 1 species
CGCGUGGCGGCGUCGUAUCGCGCGCGAAGGCGCGAGACCACGUGACUAGCCGGUAGAUCGGCGAUUGGUCGGCGGUGCGACAUUUAAACCGACGAGCCGUUGCGUGUCUUCCGCGACAAGGUGAAAAACAGCAGUUCGAACAGAAGUUCGGCGAACGGACGAGUUCCACGGUAUUCCGAGUUGGCGGAGGCGCGCGUUCACACGACCGUUGGAUCUUCCUGCCGCUUCAUCCCGCUCGCGAGCGCGCGAUACAGGAGCUGCACGAUAAUUGCGAGAAUCAAGUCGACGUUGGCCCGUUAUUUAAACCGCCUCUUGUCUUGUCAUAUCUCUCGUGCGCCGCAAACAUACCGCCGGUCGCGCGAGUCAACGUGACGAACGUAGGGUGUAUUACGUAGUUCGAGGUCCCUUUGCCGGCGCGCGAUGUCCAAGGACGACGAGUGUACGAUACCGAAUGUGAUAUACGAUGCCAACACCGGCAACAGUUACAUGAAGGGCCGGUUUUUCGGCAAGGGUGGCUUUGCAAAAUGUUACGAGAUCACAGAGACAAAGUCGCAUCAAGUUUUUGCUGGAAAAAUUGUGCCAAAGUCAUUGAUGAUAAAGAGCAAUCAACGAGAGAAGAUGACGCAAGAAAUAGCAAUUCAUAAAACCUUGAACCAUAGACAUAUUGUUGGUUUUCAUGGUUUCUUUGACGAUUCUCAUAAUAUCUAUAUUAUCUUGGAACUCUGUCGCAAAAGAUCAAUGAUGGAGUUACACAAACGUAGGAAAGCACUGUCAGAAUGUGAAACCCGAUACUUUAUGAAGCAAAUCUUGGAUGGAGUUUUUUAUUUACAUCAGCAUAGAAUAAUUCACAGAGAUUUAAAAUUAGGGAAUUUAUUCUUGAAUGACGAAUUGCAAGUGAAGAUUGGUGAUUUUGGAUUAGCAACUAAAUUGGAACAUGAUGGUGAACGAAAAAAAACUGUUUGUGGCACUCCGAAUUAUAUAGCUCCAGAAGUGCUGACGAAAGUCGGACAUUCGUAUGAGGCCGACGUAUGGAGUAUCGGCUGCAUAAUGUAUACUCUACUCGUGGGCAAGCCACCCUUCGAAACAUCGAGUUUGAAAGAGACAUAUUCCAGGAUUAAGCAGGUGCAGUACAAAACACCGCAACACAUCAGCAAGCCUGCUAUGAACAUGGUAGCAAAUAUGUUACAACUGAAUCCGUCGAGACGCCCGUCUGUCGCCAAACUGAUGAAGGAUAUUUUCUUCACUUCUGGAUAUAUGCCGACAAGUUUGCCGCUUUCUUGCUUGACAAUGGCACCGCGUUUAGACAUGCUUGAGUCGCAUUGCAAUCGCAAACCACUUGGAGAGAUGAAUCUUAAUGGCUUCUCGGAGCAGGACAUCCUUGCCUCUCGAAUGCCAAAUAGUCCAUUGCGAAAAACCAAGCUUAGUACUGAGGUAAUAGAACCACAGAGAGUCAAUCACGAUAUCAAGAAGAUGCUUUAUACAUUGAAGGAACAGCUGGCUGCAGUGUUGAAAUAUAAGCCUUCUAAAGAUAUAACUUCUUCAGGAGAUGAAAUGACUGAUCCGGCGGCGCAACCUGUAAUUUGGAUUAGCAAAUGGGUGGAUUAUUCAGAUAAAUACGGUUUCGGAUAUCAAUUGUCUGAUGAUGGCGUUGGUGUAAUGUAUAAUGAUGGCACACGAUUGAUUAUGCUAGCGAAUGGCUUCAAUAUUCAUUAUAUUAAUCGUGAGGGCGACGAGUUGUACUACACGGUCAAAGAGUAUCCGACUAAUCUCGAAAAAAAGAUGAAAUUAAUGAAUUUCUUUUUGAAAUACAUGAAUGAGCAUUUGAUGAAAGCAGGCGGCUCUAUCGCGGUGAAGCAGAGUGAUUCUCUGUCUAGAAUACCUUACAUACAUCAAUGGUUUAGGACCCAAACGGCCGUCGUGAUGCAAUUGACUAAUGGCACAGUGCAAGUCAACUUUUUGGAUCAUGCAAAGAUCAUUAUGUGUCCUCUAAUGGCGGCAGUCACCUAUAUUGACCAUGAUAAGAAUUUCAGAACUUAUAGAUUCCAGACUAUUCAGGAGCAUGGUUGCUCUAAAGGAUUGGCAAAGAAUUUGAUGUAUGCAUAUGAGAAGAUUGGAUUGAUGCUGGCAAACUCUCAAAUCCGAUAAAAAUGGUCUAUUCUAAGAGAAAAUGAGAGAGAUAAAAAAAGAGGAAAAAAAUGCUGCGCCUCCUGUGAAAAAGAAAAAUUCUCCCUCUAUUUCUCACUCGAUUUUUGUACAGACUUAUAGAAUUUUGCUAGGCGAAUUUUUUUCCUUUAUUAUUUAGUACGAAAAGAGAGAUAGAGAAGAGGGAGAAGAGCCGAUCGUGUUCAACGAAGGCGAGAUACCUCGCGACAAGAUCUUCGGCUUAUUUCCAUUCUAUUUUUCAGUAUGCCGUUUCUCAUAAACAUUAAAAUAAAUUAAUUAAUUGUUAUCGAGCCUUCUGUUAUGUUUCCAAAUAUAAUAUGAAAUCGUAACUGCUAAUAUACAUUAAAGUUAACCUUAACAUUUAAAAUUCUAAAAAAAUCUUCACUCUUAUAUUCCUAUUUUGUAUUAUUCUCCUGUCUAAUUUCUUAUUUCCUCUAAAUUAUUAUUUCCUGUGCUAGUUGCUCAGAAUCCUGCGAGAUACUUCUUGUCUUCGUUGCUCCACAACAAUUGCCUAAAAGAUAUUCUGCUCUGACUUUGCAAGUGAAUCGUCUUCCAUCCAGAAAUCCUAUUAUGCCUAUUACAAAAAAAAGGAAAGUGAGGGUAAGGAUUAUCACGAUUCAAUGGAGUAGUGCAAUCUAAUGUCUGAUUUCAUUCUCGCAGUUGAGAUGAGAAACGAAAUUUCGCAGAAGCUAGGUUUCUGACUAAUGGUUCACUAGCUUAAAGUUUCUCAUUCAAAUUUGUUCAAAGCAAUGCGACUAAAUGUUAAUCUCUGAACUAUAAUUCUUAAACUCUGAUAACAAAAACUUAUUUGAGAAAGGACUUAUAUUGCAAAACUUUUUAUAAUGACUUAUAUGUUUAAGGUUUUAACGACAAAAAAAAAGUAAUAAC